rnacentral:piRNA from 1 species
UAGGAUGAGUAAUGGUGAAGGCAAAGGCU